AGUUCGGAUUGAAGGCUGAAAUUCGCCUUCAUGAAGCCGGAAUUGCUAGUAAUGGCAGGUCAGCAUACUGCCGUGAAUACGUUCCCGGGCCUUGUACACACCGCCCGUCAUACCAUGAGAGUUGGAGAUACCCGAAGCCUGUGAGCUAACAAACGAGGCAGCAGUCGAAGGUAGAAUCAAUGAUUGGGGUGAAGUCGUAACAAGGUACC
rnacentral:rRNA from 1 species